ensembl:snoRNA small nucleolar RNA, H/ACA box 56
UCGCAGACAGUUACCCCUUUCUAGUCUGGCUCGUGGGACUCUAGAGGGAGUCAGUCUGCAACAGUGACUGGUGAGUUCUUCUGUCCAGUGUCAGCGCGUUGAUGGUGGCUUUAGACGUGCCAGAUAGCG